GUGGGGAAGGGAACAUCGGGCUAUUAGACAGCACACAGAGAGGCUAGGAGAGGCCAGAGCUAUCCCGGCGGCCCCACCAGCCUGGGAACUUGGGCUCAGGGGAGGGCACCACUUCCACUCAGCACCCCCUCCAGUGUGGCCUGACGUGGCAGGCUCCUAGUCCCUCCCAUGGGCAGGGCUGUGGCCCCCGCCUCCGGAGCCCACAGGCCUGGGCCGGGCUAAAUUGGGGGGCUCCCCCCAUCCCCAGCUCCCGAGGCGGGGCUGGAGGCCACUCAGGCCCCGGGCACUGUCUGGCCCGGUUGGAGCAACAGUCUCAGCAAACGCUUUUCCAGAUGUGCCUUAUUCCUGACGUGCCUGCAAGACCCACAUUCCAGUCAGAGCUGGCUGUUCCCAGGACCAUCUGGACCCAGUUGCCACCGGAUCCAGUGGGAGAACCUCAGCUGUGUCCAGAGGUUCAGGUCUGAAGGAAGAGAACUCUCAUGCUGGCAGCAGGCUGGGAACACGUGAGAGGUCCUCCUCCAAGCCCUCUGCAUCUGGGAGCCAGAACGCCAGAAAGUGGCCAUUUUUUGAGUCAGCGUAGGAAGAAGGAGCCUCCAGGCCUGGAGCAACUGCCUGCCUGCAUCUCCCGCUCAUCUCCACCCUGUGAGUCUCAGCACAGACGGGCAGAGGAGGAAACCUAGACCCUGGGUUGGCAGGCUUACUGCGGGGGCCCAGACACAAAAACAAGGAAGGCAGUGGGAGAGGAGCCCAGGCAAGGUUAUGAGCUGGAGGGAAGAGAGUGAUCCGUGAGGGCAGAAGUCCUAGAAGCCUUCCUGGAGAAGGAGGACUUGGAAUCAUAGGCCCUCGGGCUCUGAAGGGAUCACGAAGGUUGCCUAAAAUUGUGUAUCAUCAGAUCCAGGAAGGGAUCCUUAAUACCAUCCCUGCCAGGGGACCAUGCUCUUCUCUGUGGGUGCUUUGCCCCCUGGGAACCUGUCACCUGUUCACUGUGGGCCAGCUCCUAUGGUUAGCGAGUCGCUCUUUAUAUGUCAUUUCCCAGCAGUGCUGCCCCCUUUCCUUCCAUAGGCCUUCCGAGCCACAGGCCAAGAGUACGCUCCCCACCCCCUGACCAGUGACAGCUCUUUAGAUCAGAAGAGGGGGCAUAAAGACAAUUUUCCAAGGGCUGCCAUUUCUCAGAGGGCCAUUCCCACGUUUCACAUGCCCUCUGUGCUUCUGCUUCAUCCUGGUGGCAGUGGGGGGCCCAAGCCCAGCAAAGUUACACCAGGACAAUUCCAUUAUCCUGGGAGUGGCCAGGAGCAGCUGCUGAUGAGAGUCCACUUUGUACGAAGGCGACCUUAGUCCAGAAGGGAGCAGACAGUUGGUCCCUGGAGGGCCCGUCUCCUGGGCACAUACCUACCACCUGCCUCAUCCUACAGAGGAUUGUCCAACAGGGCUCCCGUCUCUGACCCUGCCAGAAAGCAGAACUAA
rnacentral:lncRNA from 1 species